rnacentral:lncRNA from 1 species
UGGAGGGAAGGUUUAAAUCUAAUGGGAGGUAGGCUGUCGGGGAGGGAGGUGAGGGCAGAAGGAACUUAACAUAAAUCUGGGGAGAGGGAUACUUGGCUGCAGGGCCAGCCUGGGGUAAGCAGAAAGGCUGGCAUGUCCCAAAGCCCAGGGAAAGGCAUAACCCUACAAAAGGGCAAGGAGCACAUUGGAGGUAAUGGGAGACAUGGACAGAUGACGUGAGGCUGGAGGGCUAGGGGGGAGUUCACAAUUGAUGGCCGAGGUGUUUAUCAGUGAACUAAGAGUGGAUGUUGUCAACUGAUAGGGACGAGAGUUUGAGGGUAAUGAUAAACUCUGGGAAUUGGGGGAAAAGGGCCAGCAUGAAUUAGCAAAACUGACUGGUAGGCAGCAGCAGAGGGGGCCCUGCCCUGCUGAGCUGUGAACUAUACAUUUGUGAUGGAAGAAACUGGUAGUUAUGCAUUUUUCUCUUAGCAGAGCUACAGUAUAAGGCUUGAGAAAAUGAAAGGUUCCACUGUUCCAAGGCUGGAGACCAGCAAGGCAAGCCCAGCAUAAAGAAAAGGGAACCAAGGGUUUUAAACAGAUUGACCAUGAGGUAGAGAAAAACAUGAUAUGUAACCGAAGGGCUUCAAGUUGGGAUGAGCAGCCAUAACAUGUUUCCAGAGAAGGGAGUGGUGGGAAGCCAAGGCGGGGGAUCCACAGGUAAUGCUGGGUUCAAGGUUUGGCUGUGGGGAUGGGUUGCAGAAGUGGAGAUGAGCAACAAGUCCCCUUGGGGGUUGAUACAAUUGUUUAGGCUGAGCCGUAUGGGGCAGAGAUAAAACUGGUGAGUCUGAGGCCAGAGCUCUCCAUUCAUUCAUUCAUUCAACAAAUAUUUAUUGAGCAUCUACUAUGUGCUAGGCAUUCUUCUAAUAAGCUCCUGUGGGGAUGUAAAUGUGGAAGUACAUCGGGUUGUUGAUAGAUGAAGAUGGGAAGGAGAUGGUCAUGUGGCAUGAGAGGGCUCCAAGAGGAAGAGGAAGCAUCACCAAGAGGAAUUAGAAUGGUCAGGAGCGGGAGGAAAGAAGCCAGUAAGGCACAGUCCUGGAGGCCUUGCCUGAGGGAAGAUAGAAAAGAGAAGAGCCUUACUGUAAAUUUCAGAAGACUUGGAAGAGGAGCCACCCUCAGGGAAAGACAGGUUUUGGAUAAGGGGAAGAGACGCCAGGAAGCGAGUGUCUGCGGCUUCCUCAUGCAACGUGGCCUGCCUUCCCAAUCCCCUCUGGGCUCACAGGCUGCUACCCAGCCAAGGGGAAGGGCAGGGUAAAGAGCAGGGGACAUCUGUCCUCAGAUAUCACAAGGCUCUAUCCCCAGGAUUAUGGCACUCUCCUUUGUGACCAGCUCUGGAUUUUGGCCCUCGCCCACUGAAUGCAAGUACAGAGAAACAAGAAGGCUAAAGAGGAACGGGUGGAGCAGAUACAGUGCCAAGAGACAGGGUUCCGUGAGGAGCCAGACAUGGUGAACACAGAGGAGCAGAAGCCCCAGGACAUUUCUGAGGGAAGAGGUUCCAAAGGAAGCUGGAGAUGACCUAGAGCCUUUGGCUUCUCCGCCUAACAUCCGCUUGGGCAGCAGGGAAGGGGAGAGAAGGAGAACACGAAGUGAGGCAUGGGAAUGAGACAAUGGUGGGAAAAGAGGACGCUGGAAGGAAGAUCUACUCUUCCAGUCUGCAGGUGGCCCCCGAGGAGCCGCAGUAGGUCAUGCAUCCCCAAAGAACAUUCAAGUCUGAGCCUCAAGGAGCCUCUGCGACUCGGUGUCUAGAUCCAGGAAAUGGAGAAUGAGCCGUGACUUUGGAUGCUUCACUCUUGUCCAUCAGGCUCGGAAUUGGUGAGCAUCUCCCACAUUACCGUCUCCAACGGAACAAGGUGCCCCAUUGGACAUUUCCUCUGCAUGGACCAGCCAUUCUCCAAAUCUGCCCCCAUGUCACCCCAGCUCCCCAUCGCAGUCACUUCUCACUCCUUGUCCCCUGUCCCCCUGAGUGACAGGACUUUUGCCAGUUAGGUCCUGUCCCUGUUUCUGAUCUUGGGUCCAUUCCCCAUGGUCCCUUUCUUGCUUGUGCCUUGGGAUCUCAGGCCUGUUGAAGUAGGAGGCAGGACUCAACUUCAGACCAGAUUGAAGACUGGCUGACACAGAAGAGGCACCAAAAGCACCUCUCUCUCCAUAAGACAUGCCCACCAGUGCCAUGACAGUUUACCAUUGCUAUGGCAAUGCCCAGAAGUUCUCACCCCUUUUCCAGACAUUUCUGCAUAAUCUACCCCUCAAUUGGCAUGUGAUCAAAAGUGGGUGUCAAAAUGACUGUGGAACUGUCCCUGAGCUGCUACUCUUGACAUGCUGGUUACAGGGUAGCCCGGCUCUGCAGGGACAGUCACGGAGCUGAAAAACUGCUGCCUAAUGAAGCUGUUUUCUUCUA